AUGCACAGAUCCAGUCAAGAAAGCACAGCUCCAAUUUUGAGCUUGAUCAUGAGAUGCAGAGUACCUUCAUCUGGACUAUUAAAUCAUCGAUGUGAGAAUGUUUCUUUGAUUUGUCAGAGACUGGUGAGAUACAUGGAUAUGGUACCCACCCUGCAUUCAGCAAGAGACAGUCGUUUUAGGACUCCUGGGCAUUUCAAGUCUACAUGGGAUAGUGUAUUACAGAAGCAAAUAAAGUGUCAAUAAGACAUGCCUGACCUGUCUUUAAAACCAGGUAGGUGAACUUCUGCUGAGCUCCGUGCUCCUACAGCUGUGCUAUCUGUAUGUGCUAUUUGACACUUGCCAUGUAACACUUUACUGUAGGUGUUUAUUCUGCAGUUCAGUCAUCACUGUCCGUAAUAGUGAGAAUUCAUAGGAAGUUAAUUUCUCUGAAUAAA
rnacentral:lncRNA from 1 species